AUGGCGAUGGCGGCUCUCCGAUGCGCCGCCGGAAGGAGGCUCGCCGGUGGCGGCCGCCUUCUACAGCCGGUGCUCAGCCGGCCUAGCCCCGCCGCUCCCGGCUUGGGCCGCCCGAAUCUCACCCAGGCCUUCUCAUCGCACGGGAAAGAAGAAGCCGGGAGGGAGGUCCUGGAGCAGAUCCAGGAGAAGAAGGAGAAGCUCUACGACCUCAUCCUGCGCCACGGCUAUAAGCGCAACGACGGCUCUAUGUGCUACUCAAACGUCCAGCUCAUGCAUCAUCUCUCCGCGCACAUCAAACCUAGGCCCGAAAGCAUCGCGUGGCGUUACCUUCGGAAUGUGCAUAGCUUCUAUAUUCUCUGGAUGUGCUUCAGCCCUGGUGUAAGCGCCUACGCAAUCUGGAAUAUCUACAAAGCGGGGGGCAUUAGCAAAUCCGCUGCUCAGCGCCGACGUGAGUUAGCCGACAACGAAUGGGGAAAGAACUUGGGUGCUGUUCAACAGGGAGGAGACGAGCUGAGGAAGAAGAAUUGCAUCGAUCAGGGGGAAGAAGUAGUUGUCUGCUAA
rnacentral:rRNA from 1 species